rnacentral:rRNA from 1 species
GUGAACGCUGGCGGUAGGCCUAACACCUGCAAGUCGAACGGCAGCACCGUAAGAGCUUGCUCUUACGGGUGGCGAGUGGCGGACGGGUGAGGAAUACAUCGGAAUCUACUUUUUCGUGGGGGAUAACGUAGGGAAACUUACGCUAAUACCGCAUACGACCUACGGGUGAAAGCAGGUGAUCUUCGGACCUUGCGCGAUUGAAUGAGCCGAUGUCGGAUUAGCUAGUUGGCGGGGUAAAGGCCCACCAAGGCGACGAUCCGUAGCUGGUCUGAGAGGAUGAUCAGCCACACUGGAACUGAGACACGGUCCAGACUCCUACGGGAGGCAGCAGUGGGGAAUAUUGGACAAUGGGCGCAAGCCUGAUCCAGCCAUACCGCGUGGGUGAAGAAGGCCUUCGGGUUGUAAAGCCCUUUUGUUGGGAAAGAAAAGCAGCAGGUUAAUACCCCGCUGUUCUGACGGUACCCAAAGAAUAAGCACCGGCUAACUUCGUG